rnacentral:piRNA from 2 species
GUGGUGGUGGUGGUGGUGGUGGUGGUU